UUUAUUUUAUUUUAUUUUUUUAUUGUCUAUAAAUAGCCUAAAUAAAAUACAUAUGUAUAUCUGUGGCUUUGCUGCUUCAUAGCGAUAUAAUACUACAAAACUUAACAAAACGCUUUUAAUCUCUUCAACAUUCGUCCCAUUUUAUAAAUCUUUUACAAU